ACACCGGUAGUUCAGGUGGUUUAGAACGUCUGUCUCAUACAUCUGAGGUCAGCAGAUGCCGCGAGUUCAAGUCUUGCCUGGUGUA